AACGAACGCUGGCGGCAGGUCUUAGGCAUGCAAGUCGAACGGGUGCAGCAAUGCAUCAGUGGCGCACGGGUGAGUAACGCGUGGGAAUAUGCCCUUUGCUGGGGAAUAACGUUUGGAAACGAACGCUAAUACCGCAUAAGCCUGACCACAUAAUUUUUUAUAAUGGAUUUCGCGAACGCGAAAUCAGAAAAAUUAUGUGGUCAGGGAAAGAUUUAUCGGCGAAGGAUUAGCCCGCGUUGGAUUAGCUUGUUGGUAGGGUAACGGCCUACCAAGGCAGUGAUCCAUAGCUGGUCUGAGAGGACGAUCAGCCACACUGGGACUGAGACACGGCCCAGACUCCUACGGGAGGCAGCAGCUAAGAAUAUUGGACAAUGGGGGAAACCCUGAUCCAGCCAUGCCGCGUGAGUGAAGAAGGCCUUCGGGUUGUAAAGCUCUUUUAGUCGUGACGAUGAUGACGGUAGCGACAGAAAAAGCACCGGCUAACUUCGUGCCAGCAGCCGCGGUAAUACGAAGGGUGCAAGCGUUGUUCGGAUUUACUGGGCGUAAAGCGUCUGUAGGUGGUUUGCUAAGUCAGGGGUGAAAUCCCGGGGCCCAACCCCGGAACUGCCCUUGAUACUGGCAGGCUGGAGCAUAAUAGAGGAAGAUGGAAUAUACGGUGUAGAGGUGACAUUCGUAGAUAUCGUAUAGAACACCAAUGGCGAAGGCAGUCUUCUGGAUUAUCGCUGACACUGAGAGACGAAAGCGUGGGUAGCAAACAGAAUUAGAUACUCUGGUAGUCCACGCCCUAAACGAUGCAUGCUUGUUGUUGAUCUCCUUCGGGGGACCAGUGACGAAGCCAACGCGUUAAGCAUGCCGCCUGGGGAGUACGGUCGCAAGAUUAAAACUUAAAGGAAUUGACGGGGACCCGCACAAGCGGUGGAGUAUGUUGUUUAAUUCGAUGCUACGCGAGAAACCUUACCGACCCUUGACAUCCCGGUCGCGAUUUCCAGAGAUGGAUUUCUUCAAUUCGGUUGGACCGGUGACAGAUGCUGCAUGGCUGUCGUCAGCUCGUGUCGUGAGAUGUUAGGUUAAGUCCUGCAACGAGCGCAACCCACACCCAAUGUUACCAGCGGAUAAUGCCGGGGACUCUUUGGGAACUGCCCGCGUCAAGCGGGAGGAAGGCGUGGACGACGUCAAGUCAUCAUGGUUCUUACGGGUCGGGCUACAAACGUACUACAAUGGCGGUAACAAUGGGUCGCGAUGCCGCAAGGCAAAGCCAAUCCUUAAAUAUCGCCCCAGUUCAGAUUGUCCUCUGCAACUCGAGGGCAUGAAGUCGGAAUCGCUAGUAAUCGCUGAUCAGAACGCAGCGGUGAAUUCGUUCCCGGGU
rnacentral:rRNA from 1 species